rnacentral:rRNA from 1 species
AUUGAACGCUGGCGGCAGGCCUAACACAUGCAAGUCGAACGAGUGGCGGACGGGUGAGUAAUGUCUGGGAAACUGCCCGAUGGAGGGGGAUAACUACUGGAAACGGUAGCUAAUACCGCAUACCAUCGGAUGUGCCCAGAUGGGCUUAGCUAGUAGGUGGGGUAACGGCUACCCUAGGCGACGAUCCCUAGCUGGGCUGAGAGGAUGACCAGCCACCCGGGAAAUGAGACACGGUCCAGACUCCGAAGGGAGGCAGCAGUGGGGAAUAGGGGACAAUGGGCGAAAGCCUGAUGCAGCCAUGCCGCGUGUAGGAAGAAGGCCUUCGGGUUGUAAAGUACUUUCAGCGAGGAGGCGUUACUCGCAGAAGAAGCACCGGCUAACUCCGUGCCAGCAGCCGCGGUAAUUC